CCUACGGGAGGCAGCAGUGGGGAAUAUUGGGCAAUGGGCGCAAGCCUGACCCAGCAAUGCCGCGUGAAGGAAGAAGGCUUUCGGGUUGUAAACUUCUUUGACAGGGGAAGAGCAGAAGACGGUACCCUGAAAACAAGCCACGGCGAACUACGUGCCCGCAGACGCGGUAAGACGGAGGUGGCAAGCGUUGUCCGGAUUUACUGGGUGUAAAGGGCGUGUAGCCGGGAAGGCAAGUCAGAUGUGAAAUCUGGAGGCUCAACCUCCAAAUUGCAGUUGAAACUGUUUGUCUUGAGUACUGGAGAGGCAGACGGAAUUCCUUGUGUAGCGGUGAAAUGCGUAGAUAUAAGGAGGAACACCAGUGGCGAAGGCGGUCUGCUGGACAGCAACUGACGGUGAGGCGCGAAAGCGUGGGGAGCAAACAGGAUUAGAUACCCUUGUAGUC
rnacentral:rRNA from 1 species